rnacentral:rRNA from 1 species
UACGGGGGGGGCAAGCGUUGUUCGGAAUUACUGGGCGUAAAGGGUUCGUAGGUGGCUUGCUAAGUCAGACGUGAAAUCCCUCAGCUUAACUGGGGAACUGCGUCUGAGACUGGUAAGCUUGAGUGCAGGAGAGGAACGCGGAAUUCCAGGUGUAGCGGUGAAAUGCGUAGAUAUCUGGAGGAACACCGGUGGCGAAGGCGGCGUUCUGGACUGCAACUGACACUGAUGAACGAAAGCCAGGGGAGCAAACGGG